GAUGAACGCUGACAGAAUGCUUAACACAUGCAAGUCUACUUGAUCCUUCGGGUGAUGGUGGCGGACGGGUGAGUAACGCGUAAAGAACUUGCCCUGCAGUCUGGGACAACAUUUGGAAACGAAUGCUAAUACCGGAUAUUAUGUGAGUUUCGCAUGAAAUUCAUAUGAAAGCUAUAUGCGCUGCAGGAGAGCUUUGCGUCCUAUUAGCUAGUUGGUGAGGUAACGGCUCACCAAGGCGAUGAUAGGUAGCCGGCCUGAGAGGGUGAACGGCCACAAGGGGACUGAGACACGGCCCUUACUCCUACGGGAGGCAGCAGUGGGGAAUAUUGGACAAUGGACCAAAAGUCUGAUCCAGCAAUUCUGUGUGCACGAUGAAGUUUUUCGGAAUGUAAAGUGCUUUCAGUUGGGACGAAGUAAGUGACGGUACCAACAGAAGAAGCGACGGCUAAAUACGUGCCAGCAGCCGCGGUAAUACGUAUGUCGCAAGCGUUAUCCGGAUUUAUUGGGCGUAAAGCGCGUCUAGGCGGUUUGGUAAGUCUGAUGUGAAAAUGCGGGGCUCAACUCCGUAUUGCGUUGGAAACUGCCAAACUAGAGUACUGGAGAGGUGGGCGGAACUACAAGUGUAGAGGUGAAAUUCGUAAAUAUUUGUAGGAAUGCCGAUGGGGAAGCCAGCCCACUGGACAGAUACUGACGCUAAAGCGCGAAAGCGUGGGUAGCAAACAGG
rnacentral:rRNA from 1 species